CGGCUUCCUCACUUGUCUGUGGUGCUGCCUUCUGUGGAUGGAGCAGCUAUUGCAGCCUUCAGUAAGGUCCUGCUCCCCUUGUGGCUAUGUAUAGUAUUUACGGCUUAUAUGCUUGGUCCUGCUUCCUAGGGUCUAUGUGUGGGUAGCUCAGGUUCUUAAAAUACGUAACAAUUAAUAUUAAAGUCGUGCAGUGGUUUAUUUCCUUUUCGCUAAAUUCGAAUAUAAUAAUACCUCGGCCUUUUUAAAAAAUUAGCUGCACUUGGUUCAUGGAAGUAAGUAAGAGUUAACCUGUUCAUAAUAAUAAUUAAAAUAUUGAGUAAAAUUUAUGUUAAAAGUGGUUUUAUUUAGUGUCAUCCGUAAUCACCAAUGUCAUACUACAGCAACACGAUUUAGCAAAACUCAUGCCUUUUUUAUCGUCUAACUUUUAAGGAAUAAAUAGUUUUUAGAUGUAUUUCUAUCAUUAUGUUUUACCUUCAUGGAUCAGGGACUUACACCACAGGCAUAUGGGAACGACUGUGGGAUCUUCAUGAUUAUGGUAUACUCAGUCGCACACUUAAAAUGUACUGAUCAGAUAUAACAACGCGUGUGAAUGUUGUCACCAAUUACAUUUUUCCAUCACAGUACGCUUGACGAUUGAAAAGAUAUGUUUAAAAUAAGAAUUGGAUUUUUGACAUAUGUAAGGUUACAACAUCGAGAAAUUCAUACUUGUAUACAUAUUUUAUCAUUGUGAAUUCUUUGAAUAUCCCCUUACUUUAGAAAGAAAUGCCAGUCCUCAGAAAAUGGUGAUGCACAGUACUGCUUGAGAACUUCCACCUGGAUGGGCACGGCAGAAGGUUCCCACAUUUCAUGGAGGCCAAACAAAUGGCGGUUGGACUACUUCCACAAGUCUUCAGACGGAAGCGAAAAAGAGAAUGAGUUGGAGCUGAUGGC
ensembl:lncRNA